rnacentral:lncRNA from 1 species
AUUCACUAUAGAAGAAGGGAGUUGAUCCAGUUUACAAGGGAAACCGGACCCAAAAAUCUUUCAACAGCACGGUUAAUUAAAGGAAAACCAGCAAAAACCCCGAUAUUGACAAACUGAACCUAAGUACAGCCGUCCAACAAGAGAUAAACUCCUAAAACAAAGUCUUCAAGAAGGUUACGCCGACAGAACGGCUACAUCGUCCGAUCCUAACAAAUUUAGGUUUUCACCGGGAGAAAACUCUUGAAGUGGAGUUGAACGAGGGCUCCAGUAGCAACGCCUUCAAGAAGGUGAACGGCACCCAAGGGCGUCGCCGUUGCUAGCACCGAGAGCGGAGUAAGACUUUCGCCUUGGAGCACCCAUCAACCAUAGCAUCCACGACGGGAGCCACCAAAUGUCACCUACACACCGAGGAUACCUGCGAUAUUCACACCACCUGCACGACAACCGGACUCCAACCACCCCGUUCCCACCCGAGGACGCGCCGGAUCUGGGCAAGGAGCCAGAUCCGGCCGUCUUCCUCUCCACCAAUGCCGGCCGAUGUCUAGAGGGGCGCCAGAGGACGCCAGUGGCAGCCGCGGGGUGCCUGCGUGCUCUGGCCAGCGCCGGCCGCCGCGCCGCCGCCGGAUCCGGGUGCGCCACCGCCGGAUCCGCGGCCUCCACCAUCGCCACCCCAACGCCGUCGCCACCCCCGCCGCCAUCACCCACAACACCACCCGGCGCAACUCACCUCAACCGCCACCGUCGCCCGUCCCCGCCGGCCAGCCCAUCCCGCCAAAUCCGGCCAGAACGGCGCGGAUCUGGCAGACACCGCCGUCGCCACUCCGGGCGGCUCCCCAGGCCACCCGAGCGCGAGGAGAUGAGGAGCACCCCGCCGCUGCCGUCCUUGUGGCCGCGCGGCUUCGCCGGCGGCCGCUCGGGCGACAGCGAGGCGGAUCGGAGAAGGGGGUAGGGGUGGGGGAGAGGGGCGGCCGGGUCGUCGCCUCCCGAGCCGCCCCCUGGGGAGAGCGACGCGAGAGCUGUCGUGAUGUUUGGUGUCUAC